ensembl:lncRNA
AUGAUGCUCUCUCAAUUAAAAUCAUCAUUUAAGGUGUUUCAGGAGCUUUUUCCCGCAGAUAUUUCACGCAUGCAUUGUUUUUUUCCCACGCUUUCACGCACAGGAACCAGGUGUAAGAUGUUACCGGAGCCUUUCUCCCCGGUCACCGCACUGCUCUUCCUCUCUGUGGCACUACCAGCUGUGUACUAGUCCUCGAGACGCAGCCGAGGGCCGACGGGGGCUUCGCUGUUGGCACGAGCUCCACUGCUUUUCCGGCAAGAGGCUCUUAUUGGCAGCUCAUUAGCCUCGAAUAGCAGCGAGGCAGGUGGUGACUGCUUCAUCGUCUCUAAACCCCCCAACCUCUCCAAUUAGAGAAACCCCAGCUUGAUGAAGAGCGGCAGAAUGUCACGCAGCAGCUGGAAGUGCAGUAAAUCCACAUUAUAACGCCGUACAACAAAUCUCAAUGAAACAUAAAAGACUUCACAGAUUGUAAGGUUCGUUCAUUUAUCGCUGUACAACACAAGGAUGAACAAAGAGAGUCGUAACACUUAUUUCAAAAUGAAACUCUGUUGGCCACUUUCUUCCUGUUUGCCUGCUGGAGUGUGUAAGAUUAAAAAAUCAUAUUUAAUUAAUAGUGAAGUUAAUGAGGAUUUACUGGGGGAUCUCCAGGGUUGUUGAUGAUGAUCAUUAAUCAAAUAUCACUUAAAAACCCAUCACAGCCUGUGAGAGAACUGAUGAUACAUACAUAUAUUAUCCAGGUUGCCGUUGUGGUUGACUGUAUAGUGUUUAGAUAGAGCAAUUAUAGAACAUAUAUGCAAUAGCUUCAAUGGAGGGUGAGGCUAUUGUGUCUGCAGGUGCAUGAGAGCAAUUACUGUCCAUUAAGGAAGUUUAAUUACAGCAUGUCAUCUCACUGGUAGUCCACAUUACACAUGACUGAUUCUGCGUUAACCACAGGAGGAUGGGAACGAGUCUGAAGGUGCGUUUCUUAGUUUUAACAUUAAAAUCCCAGAGUGGAAUAUUAAAGUAUAGUAUAUUUAAGAUGAAUAUACCCAGAGAAAUAUCACCUUCUUUAAGAGCUGCAGUGGUUUUCUGCCAAAGCUUCAUGGGGGGGUCGCAAGGCCUUCUUGAUUUUAAAGCUUGGUAGAAAACUUACAAAAAUAUACACAGUAGGUCUAUAUCUCAACAUUUCUUUAAUUUCUGUGAAAUAAAUUUAUUUUUAAAGUUUCUAUUACACUGUAAAACCAGGUAAGUUAAUUUAACUAAAAACAUUGUUGAAACUGAUUCAAAUUUUAAGUAGAACUAACUCAAUUUAAGGUUUAAAAGUUAAAGCUCUAGUAGUUUUAAGUGACACUGACUUUAUUUUAUAUUUCUAUGUGUAUUGUAAAAAGUACUUGAGCAAGAACGUUUUUUAACCUACAAAAUUUAGUUAUAUUUUGUAUUAUUAUUCUGCAUUGGUCAAAAAAGAAGCUUAUUAAGUCUGUAUGAUUGUUAAAAAAAUAAAUCAAACAUAAUAGACAGACGAUUGUAUAAAAAGUUCCUAAAAUGAUCAGAAAAAAAUCCAUAUUCACAGGAAGAAAUCUGCUUCAAAUUCAUCUAGAUCUCUGGUUUUACACAAACUUCCUGCAGUUAUUGAGUUCACUGUUUGUGUUCAUCAUUCAGUUUAUUAGUCGUUCUGUAUUUGUUGAAUAUAGUCCCUGUUCUCUCUCCGACUGUUACUGGUUAG